rnacentral:rRNA from 1 species
GACGAACGCUGGCGGCGUGCUUAACACAUGCAAGUGGUGCGACGAACCAGGCUUCGGCCUGGGGCAGAGCCGCGAACGGGUGAGUAACACGUGGGCAACCUGCCCUGUUGAUCGGGACAACCCGGGGAAACCCGGGCUAAUACCGAAUGUGGUGCCGGCUCCUGAGAGCCGUCACGAAAGGAAACUUCGGCCUCCGCGACAGGAUGGGCCCGCGGCCCAUUAGCUUGUUGGUUGGGUAAUGGCCUACCAAGGCAACGAUGGGUAGCUGGUCUGAGAGGACGAUCAGCCACACUGGGACUGAGACACGGCCCAGACUCCUACGGGAGGUUGCAGUGGGGAAUCUUGCGCAAUGAGCGACAGCUUGACGCAGCAACGCCGCGUGGGGGAAGAAGGCUUUCGGGUCGUAAACCCCUUUCAGUUAGGACGAAGCUUUAUUGGUUAAUAACCAAUUGGAGUGACGGUACUUUCAGAAGAAGCCCCGGCUAACUACGUGCCAGCCGCCGCCGUAA